rnacentral:lncRNA from 1 species
GUAAUAAUGCCAAUAUUGGUAGGAACUUCCUUCUUUUGCCUGGGCGCAGAGCAAGAGUAACAAUAAGGCUAAUAAAAGGAUCUGUAAUGGUUUCUCCUCGACCGAGUGCGAUUUCGAGCCUGGGAAAUGAGUGACUGAAAACUGCCAUUUCGAAAUGAAAGUAGCUCUUCGAUAGAUCCUGUUCUUCUGGCGACUCCUCCCCGACAGAUAAGGCAAAACUGAGAGAAAUGAGUGUCUGAGUGUACGAUCAGGUGCUACAGCAGCGGUGGGAAGAUGAACUUACAGUUUUGUCAAUAGAAACUAAACGCCCACAAACACUGAAUGCGUGGCCGAGCGAGGGCCGAGAACGAUCUCUUUAUCCCCUGGGCGUACAUGGCCUUGCUGCAUGCAUGGCUUUUGUUGUUACUUUUUUCUGUGGAAACAGGAAAUUUUGUUUGCGGUAUUCGCUGAAGAGAAAACUACGAGGUGUCCACCUCGUUAAAUCUGGUGAUUUUAGGGUUUUCUCGAAAUGCUUAUUAUUGUUGUUGUUCGUUGCUGUUAAUUAUUGUCAUUAUUAUUUUCAGGGAAGACUCCAAGCCCUGAAGCCGACGCCGCUGCCACGGUGAAAAUGGGGUGCCCGGGGAAGCUCCUCACAGAGUGCUGUGGCCGAAGGGAACCGGGGUCGGGCACCCCCAUCCUCCUCCAGGGUCCCAUGUUUACUGACACUACCUUCAUGAGACGAGCUACGGAUGCGCCACGGGCCCGUGCACAGACAUGCACAGCAUCUUACGUGGUUUUCAGAAGGUAUUUACAAAAGCCGCGAUCGCAGCAGGAAGCUUUACUUCCCCGCUGUCCCAGCCGGUCUUGCUAGGAAGAGUCAGGGAUCGGGCUUAGCGCUGUGAGUCCUAUUUAGCUUAAGUUAAAAUCAAAUUGGGAGCAGCUAGGUCGGGCCCGGGAGAGCCCCCAGCCUCUCCCAUCCCCUUUGGGCGGAGAGCCCAGCUUUCCACCGCCCCUUCGGGAGUGCGGGCGGGGGACUUGAGGGGAGGAGUGCACAGAAAGCCCAGACACAGUCCUGUCACAGCACGAAGGGUUUAUUGGGUCAUCCGGGGAGGAGGUUUUCCUUCACAUUUAUGUAUUCACAGUCUACGGAAACUAUUUCUUCAGAGUGUCUCGUCUGAGAGGGGCGCGGGGAGGGGCGCAAAAUUUCGAGGGCAAGCUCGUGUGGACAUGUGCAAAGAAUAUAAUGUGAAAAAUACGUAUUGCGUUUGUCCUCAGUGCAUCCAAGUGGGGGAAGCCAUACAAAGUAU